UGAUGUUCAGCAAAGGGCGUUGGCUCUC
rnacentral:sRNA from 1 species